rnacentral:lncRNA from 1 species
AAUUACUACAUGUGCAUUAAAUAUACAGAGUCCAUCUUCGAUACUUUCAAAAGUACGAGAGGCCCCGUGUUUAUAAGAUAUUUUCGAUGAUAGGAUGUCCGAUUCGACGAUCAGCUUCGUUCGAUAUGAUCUAUCCUAUUGGAACUGUCUAAAAACCAAAUUUUAGAUUUUUUUGACAUCAUUUACUAAGUGAUCAAAAGGUCUAAAAAAUGACUAUUUUAACGACCGAUGUGGCACAUUUUUAAGUUCAACGGUAUAAAAAUAUUCAAAUUACAUGAAAAUUUAAUAGAAAAUUCUACUUAACAUCAGUAGCAAGAUUAAUACUUCCGAUUUAAAAUUUGAAUCCUUUAUCACUGUUUUUUAUGAGAUUUUUAUUUUCAGCCAUUCAUUUUGAGGCUACUCGUUCACUAGACAAAAGAAAUCUAAAAAUUAUAAAAUUUGGUUUCUAAAUAGUUCCAAUAGCGUAGAUCAAGUUUAACGGAACCGAUCGCCAAAUCGAAUGUCCCAUCAUCGAAAACAACUUACAAGCACGGGGCCUCCCAUACUUUCGAAAGUAUAGGACCCUAGCUCUAUAUAUAUAUAUAUAUAUAUAUAUAUAUAUAUAUAUAUUAUUCUUUUUUAUUCUAGUAUAUAGAAAUAUCACUCAAAAUUUUAAAAAUAUUUUAUUUAUUUUUUAACGAUCAAAAUAAUUUUUUAAUUAAUUAAAAAAUUCAAAAACAAUUUCUAUUUUCUCUAGAAUUUACCA